CUACUUAUUGGGUUUUUUAUACCCACACUGGGUAAUUUGAUAGAAACGUGCUGGGUUAUAUGUUUACCCAAUUAUUGGUGUGUGGUCGUUUGACCAUAUACUGGGUUAUGCUAACCAUUGAUGAGUUAUUAUACCCAAUCACUGGGUUUAUCAUAACAUUUGAAAUCAGAGCCAGCCAACGGACUUUUUCCUGGAAGUCAACUGAACUGAGGAAACCUUCAACAACAAGGAAAGGUUAACCAGAGACCGCACUGGCGUCCGGAUCCUUUGUAAGCUGAUCACGUUAUGUCCGUCUGUGCUAAGACUGGAAGUGACUGAAAGACAACACAGAUGCAUUCUUUCAGCAA